rnacentral:rRNA from 1 species
UACGUAGGUGGCAAGCGUUGUCCGGAUUUACUGGGCGUAAAGAGCGCGCAGGCGGUCGAUCAAGUCGAGUGUGAAAGCCCCCGGCUCAACUGGGGAGGGUCACGCGAUACUGUUCGACUCGAAGGCAGGAGAGGGAAGCGGAAUCCUGGUGUAGCGGUGAAAUGCGCAGAUAAUCAGGAAGAACACCCGUGGCGAAAGCGGCUCUCUGGAACGGUACUGACGCUGAGACGCGAAAGCGUGGGGAGCGAACAGGA